AUGAUCUAACUAAAAAUUCAUUAUAAAUUAAUAUCUAGUUGUUGCGCUUAAGAAAUUCUCACACAAUAUCAGGAAUGUUGUCUUUAGCUUCAUUCGCACAUUUGAGUAAGUACUCCCUCCGAUCCUUUUUAGUUCGCAUAUAAGAUUUGUCUGAAGUCAAACAAAAUAAAUUUUGACCAAGUUUAUAGAAUAAAAUACUAACAUUCAGAAUGUGAAAUCAACAACAUUAGAUGCGUCGUAACAUUAGUUUUCAUAUUGUACAAAUUUAGCAUUGUAGAUGUUAAUAUUUUUUCGUAUAAAUAUGGUCAAAAUUUACGAAGUUUGACUUCAGACAACUCUUAUAUGCAGAGUAAAAAGGACCGGAUGGAGUAUAAUAAAAACUUCUUCCUUAGCUUAUACACAUCUUGCACAAGCAACGUGUGACAGAGCAUACUUCACAUCUAAGGUCUUAAAAUGUGUAAUGGAGAAUUCUCAUGGUGCUAACCGGACGAACUAAUUCUUUACCAUUUCAUCAGAGCAUAAAUAAAGCAUAAAAAACCAUAAUAGCCAGACACCUCCCUGCAAUUUCCUAAAUUAGUAUUAUUUUGAAUAUAGUGAUAACAAAAAUAAAUGCUUGUAUUUUGAAUGUCGAAGGUUUUGUAGUACAUUUGUCACAACAUUAUGAAAUUUCAGUGGUUUCCAGUUUUGCUCCUCGCUCACUCACUCACUCACUCACUCACCCACUCGCUCAGUCGCCUCCUCAAGCUCAUUCCCCUCGCUCACCCACUCCCCCAAAUCCCUAGCCCGCGGCGGCGACGCACCUUCCCGUCACCUGCGCCGGUGACUCAGCCGCAUUGGUGCCCUUCUCCUCAGGUGUCGCCGCCUAGCCUUCUUGUCCGCGUCGCCUCUCCCUUUCACCCACAUCCUUUGCGCCACGGUCGAGCCAAAGUUGAUUGUUUUAGCGAGGUCGAGUAGGAGCAUGAGGAGCGUGGGCACGACGACCUUGUCAUGCUCGAUGACAGCGGCGACGAACGCUAGCGCUCCUCGUCGCCAUCGACCUGCAAGGAGGAGCGCCGUGUUGGACGUUGCCAUCCCUGACGCUGCUGGUCCGCUACGAGUUACCUGUCACCUGCUCCCAGGUCGCCCCCUAAGUCGAGCUCCCCACGCUCGACCUGCAAGAUGUGAUGUGGCCAAGAACUGCUCUCUGCCGCGGGAGUAGAUUGGAAAGGCAAGGCGCAAGGAGAGAUUGGAAAGGCUGCUGCUGCUCCUGGACGAUGCUGCUGCUGCCGCCGCUGCUUCUCGUCGAUUCGGGCAUGAGCACAUUCUUGGAGUGGAUUUGCAUUUCAGAAAGUUUACAAGUGGGAGUACAUGAAGUACUACAGUUUAAAUAGAGGAGAAGAUGGUGCCUGCUCCAUGAUGAUGCCGCCAUCAGCUACGAAUUCCUCGAACAUGGCGAGUACUCCAAUGCUUGUAUUCCUAUCAAUGUUUACUGCUGUAAUCAUGGAGUGUAGUUAGCUGAUGUAAUCAUGGCCGGAGAAAUGCACCAUUAGUUGGUAAGAAAUAAUGUCAGUAUGAAACCUCUCGAUAGUAACUGUUUUUUCUGUGA